GGAAGCAGAACUCGAGUGGUUGAGUAUCUCCCUUUUAAGGAGAGAGUCUUGGUUCAAGUCCAAGUGCUUUCA